rnacentral:rRNA from 1 species
GAUGAACGCUGGCGGCGUGCCUAAUACAUGCAAGUCGAGCGAACAGACGAUGAGCUUUCUCCUCUGACGGUAGCGACGGACGGGUGAGUAACACGUGGAUAACCUACCUAUAAUACUGGGAGGACUACGGGAAACCGGAGCCAAUACCGGAUAAUAUAUUGAACCGCUUGAUUCAAUAGUUAUAGACGCCUUUGCUGUCACUAAUAGAUGGAUCCGCGCCGCAUUAGCUAGUUGGUAAGGUAACGGCUUACCAAGGCAACGAUGCGUAGCCGACCUGAGAGGAUGAUCGGCCACACUGGAACUGAGACACGGUCCAGACUCCUACGGGAGGCAGCAGUAGGGAAUAUUCGGCAAUGGGCGAAAGCUUGAUGGAGCAAUGCCGCGUGAGUGAUGAAGGUCUUCGGGUCGUAAAGCUCUGUUAUUGGGGAAGAACAACUGUGUAAGUAACUCUGGACGUCUUGACGGUACCUAAUGAGAAAGCACCGGCUAACUACGUG